ACGGGUGAGUAACGCGUGGGAAUCUACCCAUCCCUACGGAAUAACGCAUGGAAACGUGUGCUAAUACCGUAUACGCCCUACGGGGGAAAGAUUUAUCGGGGAUGGAUGAGCCCGCGUUGGAUUAGCUAGUUGGUGGGGUAAAGGCCUACCAAGGCGACGAUCCAUAGCUGGUCUGAGAGGAUGAUCAGCCACAUUGGGACUGAGACACGGCCCAAACUCCUACGGGAGGCAGCAGUGGGGAAUAUUGGACAAUGGGCGCAAGCCUGAUCCAGCCAUGCCGCGUGAGUGAUGAAGGCCUUAGGGUUGUAAAGCUCUUUCACCGGAGAAGAUAAUGACGGUAUCCGGAGAAGAAGCCCCGGCUAACUUCGUGCCAGCAGCCGCGGUAAUACGAAGGGGGCUAGCGUUGUUCGGAAUUACUGGGCGUAAAGCGCACGUAGGCGGACUUUUAAGUCAGGGGUGAAAUCCCGGGGCUCAACCUCGGAACUGCCUUUGAUACUGGAAGUCUGGAGUAUGGAAGAGGUAAGUGGAAUUCCGAGUGUAGAGGUGAAAUCCGUAGA
rnacentral:rRNA from 1 species